CUGUGAAAGACUUUUUGCUGUACUUGCUAUUGGGCAAAAUCCUGUCUGCUACCUGGUAUUCAUGUAGAGUAAACUGCAAUGUGGAAACAGAUGGUAUGACCAAGUGGGAGAGAGACUCUGUCUGCAAAACUGGGAGAGCUUCACUCUGACUGGGGGUGGAAGAGGAAUGAACAAGUCCACCCCAGCGUAAAAAUAAGAUGAAAAUAUAAAAGAAUGUCAGUGUUGAAGGUUACUCCUUUUGAUUUUGCCAAUAUCCCGGAACCAUGUGAGCACAUGAACAUUCCAAAGAAGAAGAUACCUCCAGGUUCUUCAGAUGGAUCAUCCAGGUUAGUUGAAUGGUCUGGUUAUUUGGAAAUUAUCCAAAGAUGCAGUGUUGAACAGCAGAAAUAGCCAAGACAAAGAGGCAAGAUCCUACGUGUCAAACUGUGCUCUCCCUUGCUUAGCUUUCUAGUGCGGGACCUUUCUCUUUCUGGUACACCUCUAUUCUUUCAUCCAUAAGUUAUGACUUGCUCUGUUUUCAGAGAUUUUCUGAGGACAUAUGUUUGCAAUAUAGUGAAUGUUAGUGUGCCCCCAAAAUUUGUGUGUUGAACCCCUCAUCUCAUUAUGACUGUAUUUGGAUUGGGAGCUGUUGGAAGAUAACCAGGACAUGAGGCUGGAGCCCUCAUGAAUCGCAUUAGUACCUUUAUAGGAAGAGACCAGAGAGCUAGCUGGUUCCUUCCACCACGUGAGGUUACGACAACUCAUUAGUCUCCAAUUUGGAAAAAGAGCCCUCACCAGAACCUGAGCAUGCCAGUACUCUGACCUUGGACUUUCACACUGCAAAACUAGUCUCACUCUGUUGCCCAGGCUGGAAUACACUGGCACCGUCUCAGCUCACUGCAACCUCCGACUCCCUGGUUCAAGCGAUUCUCCUGC
rnacentral:lncRNA from 10 species